rnacentral:lncRNA from 10 species
UGAGAUGGAGUCUUGCUCUGUCGACCAGGCUGGAGGGUAGUGGGGUGAUCUCAGCUCAUUGUAACCUCCACCUCCUGGGUUCAUGCAAUUCUCCUGCCUCAGCCUCCCGAGUAGCUGGGAUUACAGGCACGAGCCACCUCGCCCACCCAAGAUCAUGACUUUUCAACACCACUCAGUCUGUGGGUCACUAAUGAAUUGCCACAUUGAACCAUAAAAGCAGAGGGCUGCAAAGCAAACUUUCUAGUACUACCUACUUGGCUUGAGCCAUGUUCCGAGUGAGAAUGAAGGGUUUCACUGGAGGCCUCUCCUGGCGAGAUGAGUUAGAAGUUGAUGCCUAAGAAGGAAAUUAAUUAUGAGAGGUGAAUUUGCCAUUUUACCCAACAUACCAUACGGGCUCUUAAGUCUUCAGGUGCUUGAAAAGCUCUGGAUUCAAAAUUCACUCACUUUCUAUUUAUCAGUCUCUAAGAUAUAGCAGCAGAACACUAACGGUAGAGAUUCCUUAGCUCUCCUGAG